GUGGGCGGCGACCGGCAAACGGGUGCGGAACACGUACACAACCUUCCGAGAAGUGGGGAAUAGCCCAGAGAAAUUUGGAUUAAUACCCCGUAACAUAACGAUGUGGCAUCACAUUGUUAUUAUAGCUUCGGCGCUUCUUGAUGGGUGUGCGGCUGAUUAGAUAGUUGGCGGGGUAACGGCCCACCAAGUCUACGAUCAGUAGCUGAUGUGAGAGCAUGAUCAGCCACACGGGCACUGAGACACGGGCCCGACUCCUACGGGAGGCAGCAGUAAGGAAUAUUGGUCAAUGGACGCAAGUCUGAACCAGCCAUGCCGCGUGAAGGAUUAAGGUCCUCUGGAUUGUAAACUUCUUUUAUCUGGGACGAAAAAAGGCGAUUCUUCGUCACUUGACGGUACCAGAGAAAAGCACCGGC
rnacentral:rRNA from 1 species